rnacentral:rRNA from 1 species
UCGGGAAUUUUGGGCAAUGGGCGAAAGCCUGACCCAGCAACGCCGCGUGAAGGAUGAAGUAUUUCGGUAUGUAAACUUCGAAAGAAUAGGAAGAAUAAAUGACGGUACUAUUUAUAAGCUCCGGCUAACUACGUGCCAGCAGCCGCGGUAAUACGUAGGGUGCAAGCGUUUUUCGGAUUUACUGGGCGUAAAGGGCGCGUAGGCGGCGCGGUAAGUCACUUGUGGAAUCUCGGAGCUUAACUCAGAACGGCCAAGUGAUACUGCAGUGCUAGAGUGCAGAAAGGGCAAUCGGAAUUCUUGGUGUAGCGGUGAAAUGCGUAGAUAGCAAGAGGAACACCUGAGGCGAAGGCGGGUUGCUAGGCUGACACUGACGCGGAGGCGCGAAAGCCAGGGGAGCAAACG